rnacentral:rRNA from 1 species
AUUGAACGCUGGCGGCAUGCUUUACACAUGCAAGUCGAACGGCAGCACGGGUGCUUGCACCUGGUGGCGAGUGGCGAACGGGUGAGUAAUGCAUCGGAACGUGCCCAUGAGUGGGGGAUAGCCCGGCGAAAGCCGGAUUAAUACCGCAUACGCCCUUAGGGGGAAAGCGGGGGAUCUUCGGACCUCGCGCUAUUGGAGCGGCCGAUGUCGGAUUAGCUAGUAGGUGAGGUAAAGGCUCACCUAGGCGACGAUCCGUAGCUGGUCUGAGAGGAUGAUCAGCCACACUGGGACUGAGACACGGCCCAGACUCCUACGGGUGGCAGCAGUUUCGAAUCAUUCACAAUGGGCGAAAGCCUGAUGGUGCGACGCCGCGUGAGGGAUGAAGGUCUUCGGAUUGUAAACCUCUGUCACCAGGGAAGAAAACUAGCCGUUAAUAGCGUCUAGUCUGACUUAACCUGGAGAGGAAGCAGUGGCUAACU